rnacentral:rRNA from 1 species
GACGAACGCUGGCGGCGUGCUUAACACAUGCAAGUCGAACGAAGAGCGAUGGAAGCUUGCUUCUAUCAAUCUUAGUGGCGAACGGGUGAGUAACGCGUAAUCAACCUGCCCUUCAGAGGGGGACAACAGUUGGAAACGACUGCUAAUACCGCAUACGAUCUAAUCUCGGCAUCGAGGAUAGAUGAAAGGUGGCCUCUACAUGUAAGCUAUCACUGAAGGAGGGGAUUGCGUCUGAUUAGCUAGUUGGAGGGGUAACGGCCCACCAAGGCGAUGAUCAGUAGCCGGUCUGAGAGGAUGAACGGCCACAGUGGGACUGAGACACGGCCCAGACUCCUACGGGAGGCAGCAGUGGGGAAGCUUCCGCAAUGGACGAAAGUCUGACGGAGCAACGCCGCGUGAGUGAUGACGGCCGUCGGGUUGUAAAGCUCUGUUAAUCGGGACGAAAGGCCUUCUUGCGAAUAGUGAGAAGGAUUGACGGUACCGGAAUAGAAAGCCACGGCUAACUACGUG